ACCCAAUUGACAAGUCCCAACUAGGACGAAACGCACGUUCUGGAU
rfam:Schistosoma curassoni strain Dakar, Senegal genome assembly, scaffold: SCTD_contig0000134